rnacentral:lncRNA from 1 species
UUGUAAUUGAUCUGCUCCCUUUGCUUUGAGUGUUUACCUAUACCUUCAUCCAACAGUUAAGCAAUAAUGAAUACGGAGAAUCGGAAUUUUCCAGCUAGGCCUCCUCCUCCUCCGUUCUCCUCCUCUCCUUUCGCAUCUGCUCCGCCGCCAGGUGUUGUUCCACCUCAAUCCGGUGGACCAGAGGCGGUUGGCUUUAGACCACCUGCAAGGCCUUUCACACCUUCUGGUCCUCCUAUGGCUCCACCAGCGGGUGUGAUGAGGCCUGGCCAACCUCCUUUGGUUUCUCAGCUUCCAGGGAGUAGACCUCCACCGCCAUCAGCUUAUGGUCCUCCCGGUGGUGGUGGUUCUUUUCAGCGGUUUCCAACCCCUCCUCCUAGUGGUGUACCACCACCACCUCAAACUCUUGCAGGUCACUUAUCGCCUCCCAUGUCUUUUCGCCCACAGCAACCAAUGGCUCCUGUUACAAUGGGACCUCCUCCACAGAGUAUGACUUCUGGAAUACCUGGAGGGUUUGCUUCUCCCUCUGGUCCUGGUUUUCAACAGUCCAUGCCUGGUGGUCCACAGCCAUCUUAUCCUGGUUAUCCCAGUAAUCAGGUCUUACGGGGUCCCCCAAAGCCGUUCCAGUCUCCAUCUCAGGGUCCUCCGUCUGCAGUCUCAUCGUAUCCUCCUCAGACAGGAGGUUUUGCUCAGCACCCAGGACAGCAGAACAUGCAUCCAAGCUAUGCUCCUCCUCCUACCAGUAACGUUCAAGGCUUGGUUGAAGAUUUCAAUUCGCUGUCCCUUUCAAAUAUUCCGGGGUCGCUUGAGCCAGGACUUGAUCAUACCUCGUUCCCAAGGCCAUUGGAUGGUGACGUGGAGCCGAGUUCGUUUGCUGAAGCGUACCCUAUGAAUUGCCAUUCUAGAUAUCUGCGGCUGACAACUAAUGCGAUUCCAAAUUCACAGUCUCUGGCGUCGAGGUGGCAUUUGCCUCUAGGAGCUGUUGUUUGUCCACUUGCUGAGGCUCCUGAAGGGGUUAGUAUUUGCCAAACUAAUAAUCAAGUCUUUUAAAUUCUUUCAUGUUUUGAUAAUCUGGAACUAUUCACCUACUAUAUAUGAGCAUAUAACUUUUCCCUUAUUUUGAAAAUUGUCGUUUUAUCUGUUCAGGAGGAAGUGCCAUUAAUUGAUUUUGGUUCAAGUGGCAUCAUCCGCUGCAGAAGAUGCCGUACCUAUGUGAAUCCUUAUGUUACUUUCACAGAUUCUGGAAGAAAGUGGCGGUGUAAUAUUUGUUCUAUGCUUAAUGAGGGUAAUUUUUCCGAAUCUCCAGGAUUAGUGUUGUUAACCAAUGUGAUAUAGAACGUUGUUGUUGAUUGAAUAUGCCUUGUCUAAUGGUCGUGCAGUUUCUUUCUCUCUGAUUUUUCUUAAUCGUUAGUUUUUCCCAGUUGUCUUUGUCUAAUCUGUCCUAGUAGAAUUAUCGUAAAUGGAUUUGGUGAAAGCUACAAGGAACUGUUUUUGGUGUUAUGUAUGCUUUUUUCUGUUGUUGUGGAAUGUCAUCCCUGUCAAUAUACCUGUACAUCUGAUAUGAACUUCUCCCAGUCACUGGAAUGUCCUUUCCAUAAACUAUUUGAGAGAUGGCUUUACGUCAGUACAUGCAGGCAUAUGUUUAUAAGAUGAAUAUUCAUGGUUAUGGGUCUAAUGUUUUGUUCAGUGCCUGGUGAAUACUUCUCACAUUUGGAUGCUACUGGCCGAAGAAUGGACUUGGAUCAAAGGCUUGAGCUGACAAAGGGCAGUGUUGAAAUUAUUGCUCCAACAGAAUACAUGGUUCGGCCUCCGAUGCCACCAAUUUACUUCUUCCUCAUUGAUGUAUCAUUUUCUGCUACUAAAAGUGGGAUGCUCGAGGUAAGCAUGUUGGAUUUUAAUAUUCCACCUUGUAAUUUGUUGUGCAAUACCUUAGUUAGUAAGAACCAAUCCAUGUCUGCUUUUAUCUGAAUACACUACGUAUCGAUGGAUCUUGACUAGAUUAGACAUGCUGUCCCCUGUAGAGGCAUGCUGUGAAACUUUGAUCUUAUGCUGACCCUUUUUUCUCCUUUGGCAGGUUGCUACUCAAACGAUUAAGUCUUGUUUAGAUAACCUUCCUGGUUAUCCCAGAACUCAAAUUGGAUUUAUUACUUACGACAGCACUUUACAUUUUUAUAACAUGAAGGUAACAUAAUUGUAAAUUCAGUGGAUUUUUUUGUUCUGAAAUACUCUAGCCUUAAUCGCGUAUUUUUAUUGGACCUGGGUAAUGCAGUCAUCUUUGAGUCAGCCGCAAAUGAUGGUCGUUUCUGAUUUAGAUGAUAUAUUUGUCCCAUUACCGGAUGAUCUCCUUGUCAAUCUGUCUGAGUCUAGAAAUGUAGUGGAAGCCUUUUUGGACAGUCUGCCUCUGAUGUUUCAAAAUAAUGUCAAUGUGGAAUCGGCUUUUGGUCCAGCCCUCAAAGCGGCGUACAUGGUUAUGGUUAGUUACUGUGCUGCCAUGUCAAAUGAAAAUCAAAUAAUUCAUUUGAUGUGAGAGUCCUAUAUGGAAGCUCAUCUGGAAUUUGUAUCAGUUUGUAGUUGACUCUGUUUUCUCUUUCUAUUUCAGAACCAACUUGGUGGCAAGUUGCUAAUUUUCCAGAACUCGUUACCUUCUCUUGGUGUUGGGCGGUUAAAGUUGCGCGGAGAUGAUCCUCGUGUCUAUGGAACUGACAAAGAAUAUACUUUAAGAGUAGCUGAAGACACCUUCUAUAAGCAAAUGGCUGCCGAUUCGUCUGCUUCGGCGCAGAUGAUUUCUCCUCUGCUUCUUCUUCUGAAUCAUCAUCAUUUUCGUCGUCUUCCUCGUCUGCUUCUGCAGCUUCCUGCGCCGCGACGGCUUCUCUCGCAGACAUCUGCCUUUCGUCCUCGAACUUAACCACCGGAUGACGGAGGAUCCUAUCGUCUUCGCCGUCACCGUGAUCUCUGACGGAAUCGUGGCGUGAGAACUGCGGCUUGAAGCUCCUCGACGGGGGUCCGUCUCCAGGGAUGCUUACGUCGGGGAGAUCGUCCGGGUUUUUACUCGACCCGACCCGCAUUGAAGAUCCGCGCGUGAACAUCCCGCGUCCUGAAGAGCCAGGUGGAUCCGACAUUGGGGAUUGCGUAGAAUAAACAGACGGAGUUUGAACGGAACGCUGCUCCGAGGUGUUUGGGAUUGGGGAUAAGGAUAUCCGAGGCGAGGAUAUGCAGACGAGGUCCAAGCAGAACCGGUUCGUUCAAUAACAACGGUCGAUAAAGGAGAAUACAGGUUAGCUCUUUCUACAAACUAUAAUGGAAAUGUACCUCUUGCAUCGAAUUAGAGAGUGUUGAAUAACGUUUUAGCUAUGGAUUGCUUAGACUGAAAAUUCUAAAAUUUUGAUCAUUUGUUAGUUUUUGUGUUUCUUUUGGUAAUUUGUUUAUCUUUUCUUUUAAAUUUUCUAUUAACUUUUUUCGUUUUUUUGUUCUUGCCUCCUUAAUUUGGAAGAAAUUUUUGUGGCUAUAAGUGUUUUUAAAAUGCAGAACCAGGGGUAUGGAGGAACGAGUCUUAAGGUGGAAGAAAAUGAUCUAAAUUAAGGAUGGUUCCACAAUUUUGUGACAAGAGCUAUCCACUUUCCUUAUUUAUUGAUGAUCAAUCUUUUUUUAUUACAAGGCUGACAAAUUACCAGGUUAGUGAAUUUUUGCAUGAAGAGACAAAAUGUACAUGGAUCUACUGAAAUGCUUUUUCUAUGAGACUUCCAACCUUUCAUCAUGAAAAUUUAACUAACAAAAAAAUUAACUAAUGUUAGCCUUUUAUAAAGGAGUCUUGGCCAUUUUACAUUAAAUUUAUCUAAUCAUGGUUCUGACGUGAUAAAAGAUAAUAUUCAUGCUUUAUCACCAACAAAUUGACAGUGGUUUGUUUUCCUAUCAAGUGAGUAAUCUACGAAUGAAUAGGUAGUAGUGACAAAGUUUUGUUUUCUUGAGAUAUAUUUGUAAUAGUAUAUUUGCAAUUACGAAAAUCAAAAGAGUCAAUAUGUCCGAGUGGUUAAGGAGACAGACUUGAAAUCUGUUGGGCUUCGCCCGCGCAGGUUCGAACCCUGCUGUUGACGAUAUUUUUGAAAUUUGUUUUUUAUUCAAUACAAACCAUAGUUGUAAACGACAAAACUAGCCUAAUCUUUUUGCAAUGAUAAGCCCAAUUCUUGGCCCAUUAUCAAUACCACAUCGUCUCCUUCGCCGCGCAAUGUUACGUGUCAAAUCUUCUUAGAGGUCACGAUCUGAAUCCGAUCGCUGCUGUAGAAUCAGUUUCGUGCUCCGCAGAUUCUCGAGCUUCCUCUCUCUCUGUCUCUCACUUGAGGUAGGUUAGGUAGUCUUCGCUCUGUAACCAUUUAUCAAAAUUGAUCUCAGUUUAGAAUUCUUUAAGCUCAUAUUCAACGGUGAUUGAUCCAGAUCUUCCCGAGCUCCAGAAGAAGGGAUCGGAGAGAAAGAGAGUUUCUACGUUUCUCGAUCUGAAUCAUAGUAAAAGAUCUCUUCUUGAGAAAGAGACGAAACGUCUUUUGCAGAAGUUGCCAGUUUUGAAUUUGAAGUUAAAACUACCGAUUCUUUGAUGAGGUCUAGGUAGAAUCUAGGAUUGUAAUUGAUCUGCUCCCUUUGCUUUGAGUGUUUACCUAUACCUUCAUCCAACAGUUAAGCAAUAAUGAAUACGGAGAAUCGGAAUUUUCCAGCUAGGCCUCCUCCUCCUCCGUUCUCCUCCUCUCCUUUCGCAUCUGCUCCGCCGCCAGGUGUUGUUCCACCUCAAUCCGGUGGACCAGAGGCGGUUGGCUUUAGACCACCUGCAAGGCCUUUCACACCUUCUGGUCCUCCUAUGGCUCCACCAGCGGGUGUGAUGAGGCCUGGCCAACCUCCUUUGGUUUCUCAGCUUCCAGGGAGUAGACCUCCACCGCCAUCAGCUUAUGGUCCUCCCGGUGGUGGUGGUUCUUUUCAGCGGUUUCCAACCCCUCCUCCUAGUGGUGUACCACCACCACCUCAAACUCUUGCAGGUCACUUAUCGCCUCCCAUGUCUUUUCGCCCAC